rnacentral:lncRNA from 1 species
UUGAAAAACUAUCAAAGCAAGCUCUGAUACCAAUUGUUGGUACCAGCGGGGUAUGGUUCGAAGAGUAUAACGCAGCGGAAUAAAACUAAGAGUAGCAUAUAAGCGUGUUUGGUCACUCUUUACAAAUAAAUUGGUCCGUCUUUGAAAAUCAAUUUUCUUUCAGAAAAUUUAUCAAACAGUUAAUAUGCGUAAAAUGAAAUGAGUGUAGGGAAUAGAAAAAUCACACAAGUAUUUUUAUACUGGUUCGAUUCAACAGAAUCUACGUCCAGUCGUUAAUCACUGUAAAGAGUGAUUAACAGUUCCACUAAAAAACAAUUUCACAGAUUUACAAUAAGUGAACAAAAUAUAAAAGAACCUUCCUUCGACGAACGAACCAGAAGAAGAACACUCAGCCAACUCGAAGAGAACCGCUCCGACAAUCGACCAACGAUUCGCGAGCUUCUCCUUUUCACGAGACCAGGCAGAGCACCUUGCUAACUCGAAGAGAGCUUGCUCCGGCAAUCGACCAACGAUUCGCGAGCCUCUCCUAUUCACGAGACCAAGCAAGGGAACUUUGAAC